rnacentral:rRNA from 1 species
AGAGUUUGAUCCUGGCUCAGGAUGAACGCUGACAGAAUGCUUAACACAUGCAAGUCUACUUGAACUUCGGUUUGGGUGGCGGACGGGUGAGUAACGCGUAAAGAACUUGCCUCACAGUUAGGGACAACAUUUGGAAACGAAUGCUAAUACCUGAUAUUAUGAUUUUAGGGCAUCCUAAGAUUAUGAAAGCUAUAUGCGCUGUGAGAGAGCUUUGCGUCCCAUUAGCUAGUUGGAGAGGUAACGGCUCACCAAGGCGAUGAUGGGUAGCCGGCCUGAGAGGGUGAACGGCCACAAGGGGACUGAGACACGGCCCUUACUCCUACGGGAGGCAGCAGUGGGGAAUAUUGGACAAUGGACCAAAAGUCUGAUCCAGCAAUUCUGUGUGCACGAUGACGUUUUUCGGAAUGUAAAGUGCUUUCAGUUGGGAAGAAAAAAAUGACGGUACCAACAGAAGAAGUGACGGCUAAAUACGUGCCAGCAGCCGCGGUAAUACGUAUGUCACAAGCGUUAUCCGGAUUUAUUGGGCGUAAAGCGCGUCUAGGUGGUUAUGUAAGUCUGAUGUGAAAAUGCAGGGCUCAACUCUGUAUUGCGUUGGAAACUGCAUGACUAGAGUACUGGAGAGGUAAGCGGAACUACAAGUGUAGAGGUGAAAUUCGUAGAUAUUUGUAGGAAUGCCGAUGGGGAAGCCAGCUUACUGGACAGAUACUGACGCUAAAGCGCGAAAGCGUGGGUAGCAAACAGGAUUAGAUACCCUGGUAGUCCACGCCGUAAACGAUGAUUACUAGGUGUUGGGGGUCGAACCUCAGCGCCCAAGCAAACGCGAUAAGUAAUCCGCCUGGGGAGUACGUACGCAAGUAUGAAACUCAAAGGAAUUGACGGGGACCCGCACAAGCGGUGGAGCAUGUGGUUUAAUUCGA